ensembl:lncRNA
GAGCUAUAGGAGUCCACAUGCAAAGGGGGCAGAGAGAGGGUCUAGGAAUGAAAGGUGGUCCCCAGCUGGCAAAAUAAUAGGGAGAGCAGUCUUGCAACAGCAAGAAACUAGGUUCUGCCGACAAUCUGAAUGGGCCUGGAAGUGGAUUCUUCCCAUGACCAACCAAUUAGAGCCACCUGGACAACACCUUGACUUUCACCCUGGCAAGACCCUGGGUGGAGAAAACCAGUCCAGCUGUCUGGACCCUGGACCUGUAAAGCUGUGAGAUCUUAGAGGCUGAGUGACUGGAGCCCCAGGGGCCUCUUGACCCUGGACUUUCCCAGUGGGUGAAAGACAGCUGUUCCCUGGAGAAGAAACAGGUCCUCGUGUCUGCUCCCUGUAUGCAGCCCCCUCAGAGCACUGUUUACAAAAACCAAGACAUGGGAGCAACCUGAAUGUCCAUCGACAGAUGAGCGGACAAAGACGAUGCGGUACACAUACACAGUGGAAUACUACUCAUCCCUAAAAAAGUAAUGCCGUUGGCAGCGACGUGGAUUGCUAGAGAUUAUCAUACUAAGUGAAAGGAAUGGAAUCCAGCCACUACAGAACAAGCUAGAAAUCAAUAGCUGUCUUGCAGACACAUGUAAAGCACAUGUAAAUCAGAUGCAAAUGGACCCAAGACCUAGUAAGACUCUUGGAGGUGGUGAGAAUGAACCCAAGUCAGACACAGCAUGUUAGAAGGGAUGGAACACUGGCUUUCGGUUGCCAGCCAGGAACCACCGGCGCUGUGCAGUUUUACUGGAGUUGUUCCUUGGCAGGAAAGCCCCUCUGUGGGCGUCCUUGUUCCGGCAAGCACAGAUGCACAGGUGUUCCUGCAUCCGUGGCAACGGGCGACAGCGCAGGUAGUGGCUUCGGUGGAAGGCCGUGGAGACCUCAGAGACUGAAUGUACUGAUGGACAGUGGCCAGACCACAUACAAAAAUAGAACUCUGACCCACAGUCUGAAGCAACCAGUUUAGAAAACCAGCUGAUCUGUCUGCAGAAACCAAACAACAACCCGUCUAGCAAUCAGCCUCAAAGAGCCAGGAUUUAAUAACUGACUACUUCCCUAAUUUUGUAUCUUCUUAUAACUUCACACCAACAAAAGAAAGCCAAAUAUGCUCCCCUAACCAAUUACAUAGGAUGUGUGUGUGAGUGUGUGUGUUAAGUCACUUCAGUCGUGUCCGCCCCUUUGCCACCCUAUGGGCCAUAGCCCAUCAGGCUCCUCUGUUCAUGGGAUUUUCCAG